GCCGCCUUAGCUCAGUUGGCAAGAGCACCUGACUGUGGAUCAGGGGGUCAUUGGUUCAAAUCCAAUAGGCGGUACCA
rnacentral:tRNA from 3 species